rnacentral:tRNA from 1 species
GCCCUGGUGGUGAAAUUGGUAGACACGCUAUCUUGAGGGGGUAGUGCCGAAAGGCGUCGCGGUUCGAAUCCGCGCCAGGGCA